CCUACGGGAGGCAGCAGUGGGGAAUAUUGGACAAUGGGCGAAAGCCUGAUCCAGCAAUGCCGCGUGAGUGAUGAAGGCCUUCGGGUCGUAAAGCUCUUUUACCAGGGAUGAUAAUGACAGUACCUGGAGAAUAAGCUCCGGCUAACUCCGUGCCAGCAGCCGCGGUAAUACGGAGGGAGCUAGCGUUGUUCGGAAUUACUGGGCGUAAAGAGUACGUAGGCGGUUAUUCAAGUCAGAGGUGAAAGCCCGGGGCUCAACCCCGGAACUGCCUUUGAAACUAGAUAACUAGAGUCUUGGAGAGGUUAGUGGAAUUCCGAGUGUAGAGGUGAAAUUCGUAGAUAUUCGGAAGAACACCAGUGGCGAAGGCGACUAACUGGACAAGUACUGACGCUGAGGUACGAAAGCGUGGGGAGCAAACAGGAUUAGAUACCCUGGUAGUCCACGCCGUAAACGAUGAUAACUAGUUGUUCGGUCACUUGGUGACUGAGUGACGCAGCUAACGCAUUAAGUUAUCCGCCUGGGGAGUACGGUCGCAAGNUUAAAACUUAAAGGAAAUUAGCGNGNGAGUGUCGAGAGACACGAGGAGGAG
rnacentral:rRNA from 1 species